AAUCUUCCGCAAUGGACGCAAGUCUGUCGGAGCAACGCCGCGAGAGUGAUGAAGGUUUUCGGUUCGUAAAACAUUGUUGUUAGGGAAAAACAUGCAUCGGAGUAACGGCCCGUAACUUCUCUGUACCGGACGAGAAAGCAACGGCGAACUCCGAGCCAUCAGCCGCGGUAAUACGUAGGUGGCAAGCGUUGUCCGGAUUUAUUGGGCGUAAAGCGCGCGCAGGCGGUCUUUAUAAGUCUGAUGUGAAAUCUUACAGCUUAACUGUAAGCGGUCAUUGGAAACUGGGAGACUUGAGUGCAGAAGAGGAGAGUGGAAUUCCAUGUGUAGCGGUGAAAUGCGUAGAGAUAUGGAGGAACACCAGUGGCGAAGGCGACUCUCUGGUCUGUAACUGACGCUGAGGCGCGAAAGCGUGGGGAUCAAACA
rnacentral:rRNA from 1 species